GACCCUGACCUGGUGGAGCCUCCCAUCUCAGCUCUUCCUGCCAUGGGCAGCAGGCUGCUCUGCUGCGUGGUCCUCUGUCUCCUGGGGGCAGACCACACGGACGCUGGAGUCUCCCAGGACCCCAGGCACAGGGUCACAGCGAGGGGUCAGAAUGUCACUCUCAAGUGUGACCCAGAGUCUGGUCAUAAUGUUCUCUAUUGGUACCGACAGACCCCAGGACAAGGUCUGCAGUUGAUGAUUUAUUUCCAAGGUAAAGGUGCUGCCGACGAGUCAGGCAUGCCUGGGGAGCGCUUCUCUGCUAAGAGGCCCCAGGGAUCUUCAUCCACCCUGAACAUCCAGCCUGCAGAGCCUGGGGACUCAGCUGUGUACCUCUGUGCCAGCAGCUUAGCCACAGUGUGGCACUGCCAGCUCCGUCCUGCUCACAAACCUCAUCCGUCUGUCUCCUGGCAGCUCUGAGCGAGCUUCAGU